GAUGAGCGCUAGCGGGAGGCCUAACACAUGCAAGCCGAGCGGUAUUUGUUCUUCGGAACAGAGAGAGCGGCGCACGGGUGCGGAACACGUGUGCAACCUGCCUUUAUCUGGGGGAUAGCCUUUCGAAAGGAAGAUUAAUACCCCAUAAUAUAUUGAGUGGCAUCAUUUGAUAUUGAAAACUCCGGUGGAUAGAGAUGGGCACGCGCAAGAUUAGAUAGUUGGUGAGGUAACGGCUCACCAAGUCAAUGAUCUUUAGGGGGCCUGAGAGGGUGAUCCCCCACACUGGUACUGAGACACGGACCAGACUCCUACGGGAGGCAGCAGUGAGGAAUAUUGGACAAUGGGUUAGCGCCUGAUCCAGCCAUCCCGCGUGAAGGACGACGGCCCUAUGGGUUGUAAACUUCUUUUGUAUAGGGAUAAACCUACUCUCGUGAGAGUAGCUGAAGGUACUAUACGAAUAAGCACCGGCUAACUCCGUG
rnacentral:rRNA from 1 species